CAGGAUAGACAUUAAUUGCUAGGGGGUUGGCAUUUAGCCUCACAGUUAACGGCUAGGAAGUCAGCAUCCCACACUGGGUACCUGGGUUCGCUCUGUGGCUGCAGGUCCUGCCUCCAGCUUCCUCCUAAAGCAGACCCUGGGAAGUGGCAGGUGACUGCUCCUGUGACUGGGGUCCUGCCACCCGCACAGGAGACCUGGAUUGAGUUCCCUGUUCCCAGCUUUGACUGUAGGCAUUUGGCAUAGGCUCAGAAACAAAUGGAUUCUGUGAAGAGAAUGCUGCCACCAGACUUGCAACUACAGGGUGGGCAUGACAGCAAAAGGCUGAACGCUAAAGCAGCAACACAUGGCAGGAGGGAGCGCCUGGUGGAUGAGUGAGUUACUUCUGCUUCAUGGACCAGAAUGGUGCCAGCAUGAAACAGGAAACGUUCAUGACUUCUGUGCCCUUCGGUUUAUGCAUUAAUAAAGCAAGAAUCAAGAAACGUCAA